GGCAUCCCUGGGUCUUUAUUUAUUAGUUGGACUUUUGAAAAUAUCGCAUAUUUAUAUUGUAUUUAUUGUGGCUUCAGCUGCAGCUACAGCUACAGAGCUUCUGCUUCAGCGUGUCGCAGCUUUAAUAUUUAUUUCCGCCAUCGCUGUCUCCCUCUUCCGCUCUGCCAAGCUCGCUCUCUCCUCUCACUGCAGCUGUGUACUCAUUACUUCACUUGCGGCGUACGUAAUUCAAGUUGGGGGAUACGGAAGCAAAAGCACACACACGGAGAGAGGGACAAGCACAAACAGGGCGACAAUUGAGAAUGACACAGUUUUGUCGCGCUCGCUCGCGGUCGCUCUCGCUCUCUCUCUCUCUCUGUGUUUGUGUUUUUGCAUGGCUUUUGCAUGUUAUUUUGUGCAUACCCUGUAGUCAGGGAGUUACUUAAGACUGUAAGCAAAACGUGGGAGUGGGUCUGCUAGUUCAAAUUGGAAAAUGAUUAUAGCCGAAUUAUCCAUAACAAAAUUUCAGAUAAAUUAUAG
rnacentral:lncRNA from 1 species